UACAGAGGCCCCAAGCGUUACUGAGAAUCACUGGGUUUAAAGGGUGCGUAGGUGGUCCGUUAAGUUCGUUGUGAAAUCCCUGGGCUCAACCCAGGAAAUGCUUCGAAUACUGGCGGACUUGAGGCUAGUAGGGGUCACUGGAACUGACGGUGGAGCGGUGAAAUGCGUAGAUAUCGUCAGGAACGCCAAUGGUGAAGACAGGUGACUGGGCUAGUUCUGACACUGAGGCACGAAAGCGUGGGGAGCAAACAGG
rnacentral:rRNA from 1 species